ensembl:snRNA U6 U6 spliceosomal RNA
GUGCUCGCUUCGGCAGCACAUAUACUAAAAUUGGAAUGAUACAGAGAAGAUUAGCAUGGCCCCUGCACAAGGAUGACACACAAAUUCAUGAAGCGUUCCAUAUUUAA